rnacentral:rRNA from 3 species
GGCCCAGAUCGUUUACCGUGAAAAAAUUAGAGUGUUCAAAGCAGGCAGAUCCAAUUUUCUGCCACCGAAUACAUUAGCAUGGGAUAAUGGAAUAGGACCCUGUCCUCCUAUUUUCAGUUGGUUUUGGCAGCGCGAGGACUAGGGUAAUGAUUAAUAGGGAUAGUUGGGGGCAUUAAUAUUUAAUUGUCAGAGGUGAAAUUCUUGGAUUUAUGAAAGAUUAACUUCUGCGAAAGCAUCUGCCAAGGAUGUUUUCAUUAAUCAAGAACGAAAGUUAGGGGAUCGAAGACGAUCAGAUACCGUCGUAGUCUUAACCAUAAACGAUGCCGACCAGCGAUUAGGAGACGUUGAAUACAAAACACCACCAUCGGCGCGGUCGUCCUUGGCGUCGGUCUUUCGGGGCCGGCGCGGGGACGGCUUAGCCCGGUGGCACCGGUGAAUGACUCCCCUAGCAGCUUGUGAGA